CGUUCUGCCAGAAAGUAUCAAUUCUUUCUUCACGUGUGGAAGCCUCUGCCUUUUCUCACAUCUGCGGGGCGAGGAUAACAGACCAGCACACCAAAGUUUGGAGUAAAUUGGUCCUGAGCAUGUUU